rnacentral:rRNA from 1 species
GACGAACGCUGGCGGCGUGCCUAAUACAUGCAAGUAGAACGCUGAAACUUGGUGCUUGCACCGAGCGGAUGAGUUGCGAAAGGGUGAGUAACGCGUAGGUAACCUGCCUGGUAGCGGGGGAUAACUAUUGGAAACGAUAGCUAAUACCGCAUAAGAGUAGAUGUUGCAUGACAUUUGCUUAAAAGGUGCAAUUGCACCACUACCAGAUGGACCUGCGUUGUAUUAGCUAGUUGGUGGGGUAACGGCUCACCAAGGCGACGAUACAUAGCCGACCUGAGAGGGUGAUCGGCCACACUGGGACUGAGACACGGCCCAGACUCCUACGGGAGGCAGCAGUAGGGAAUCUUCGGCAAUGGACGGAAGUCUGACCGAGCAACGCCGCGUGAGUGAAGAAGGUUUUCGGAUCGUAAAGCUCUGUUGUAAGAGAAGAACGAGUGUGAGAGUGGAAAGUUCACACUGUGACGGUAUCUUACCAGAAAGGGACGGCUAACUACGUG